rnacentral:rRNA from 1 species
GAUGAACGCUGGCGGCGUGCCUAAUACAUGCAAGUCGAGCGAACGGACGAGAAGCUUGCUUCUCUGAUGUUAGCGGCGGACGUGUGUGUAACACGUGGAUAACCUACCUAUAAUUCUGGGGUAACUUCGGGAAACCGUAGCUAAUACCGGCUAAUAUUUUGUACCGCAUGGUUCAAAAGUGAAAGACGGUUUUGCUGUCACUUAUAGAUGGAUCCGCGCUGCAUUAGCUAGUUGGUAAGGUAACGGCUUACCAAGGCAACGAUGCAUAGCCGACCUGAGAGGGUGAUCGGACAAAGGGGAACGGAGACACGGAACAGAAUACUACGGGAGGAAGCAGUAGGGAAUGUUGCGCAAUGGGGGAAAGCCUGACGGAGCAACGCCGCGUGAGUGAUGAAGGUCUUCGGAUCGUAAAACUCUGUUAUUAGGGAAGAACAUAUGUGUAAGUAACUGUGCACAUCGUGACGGUACCUAAUCAGAAAGCCACGGCUAACUACGUG